UACGAAGGGUGCAAGCGUUAUUCGGAAUCAUUGGGCGUAAAGCGCGCGCAGGCGGCUUCGUAAGUCAGGGGUGAAAUCCCGGGGCUCAACCUCGGAACUGCCUUUGAUACUGCGGGUCUUGAGUCCGAUAGAGGUGGGUGGAAUUCCUAGUGUAGAGGUGAAAUUCGUAGAUAUUAGGAAGAACACCGGUGGCGAAGGCGGCCCGCUGGAUCGGUACUGACGCUGAGGUGCGAAAGCGUGGGGAGCAAACAGG
rnacentral:rRNA from 1 species